CUAGCUGGUCUGAGAGGAUGACCAGCCACACUGGAACUGAGACACGGUCCAGACUCCUACGGGAGGCAGCAGUGGGGAAUAUUGCACAAUGGGCGCAAGCCUGAUGCAGCCAUGCCGCGUGUAUGAAGAAGGCCUUCGGGUUGUAAAGUACUUUCAGCGGGGAGGAAGGGAGUAAAGUUAAUACCUUUGCUCAUUGACGUUACCCGCAGAAGAAGCACCGGCUAACUCCGUGCCAGCAGCCGCGGUAAUACGGAGGGUGCAAGCGUUAAUCGGAAUUACUGGGCGUAAAGCGCACGCAGGCGGUUUGUUAAGUCAGAUGUGAAAUCCCCGGGCUCAACCUGGGAACUGCAUCUGAUACUGGCAAGCUUGAGUCUCGUAGAGGGGGGUAGAAUUCCAGGUGUAGCGGUGAAAUGCGUAGAGAUCUGGAGGAAUACCGGUGGCGAAGGCGGCCCCCUGGACGAAGACUGACGCUCAGGUGCGAAAGCGUGGGGAGCAAACAGGAUUAGAUACCCU
rnacentral:rRNA from 1 species